AAGUCGUAACAAGGUUUCCGUAGGUGAACCUGCGGAAGGAUCAUUACUGAAUUUAAUUCUGGGGUUGUAGCUGGCCAUGAAUUUGGCAUGUGCACACCCUGGUGAAUCCAAUUCUUUACACCUUUGUGCACCAUUCAUGGGAUUGAUGAGUCUACUUUGGCGCCAGCGCUGGUAGUAUCGUUUUUCUCAUGCUUCAUAUAUAACACCUUUCAGUACAGAAUGUUUAUUGCGUUUGACGCAUCUUAAUACAACUUUCAGCAACGGAUCUCUUGGCUCUC
rnacentral:misc_RNA from 1 species